rnacentral:rRNA from 1 species
CAGCAGCCGCGGUAAUACGUAGGUGGCGAGCGUUGUCCGGAAUUAUUGGGCGUAAAGGGAGCGCAGGCGGACAUAUAAGUCCAUCUUAAAAGUGCGGGGCUCAACCCCGUGAGGGGAUGGAAACUGUAUGCCUUGAGUGUAGGAGAGGAAAGCGGAAUUCCCAGUGUAGCGGUGAAAUGCGUAGAUAUUAGGAAGAACACCAGUGGCGAAGGCGACUUUCUGGACGAAAACUGACGCUGAGGCGCGAAAGCCAGGGGAGCGGACGGGAUUAGAUACCCGAGUAGUCCCUGUCUCUUAUACA